rnacentral:rRNA from 1 species
GACGAACGCUGGCGGCGUGCCUAAUACAUGCAAGUCGAACGGAGUUAAAGACUUCGGUUUUUAACUUAGUGGCGAACGGGUGAGUAACGCGUGAGCAACCUGACUCAAAGAGGGGGACAACAGCUGGAAACGGCUGCUAAUACCGCAUAAGACCACAACGCGGCAUCGCGAAGGGGUCAAAGAUUUAUCGCUUUGAGAGGGGCUCGCGUCCCAUUAGAUAGUUGGUGAGGUAACGGCCCACCAAGUCCGCGAUGGGUAGCCGAGCUGAGAGGCUGAUCGGCCACACUGGAACUGAGACACGGUCCAGACUCCUACGGGAGGCAGCAGUAGGGAAUAUUGGGCAAUGGGCGCAAGCCUGACCCAGCAACGCCGCGUGAGGGAAGAAGGUUUUCGGAUUGUAAACCUCUGUCCUAUGUGACGAAGGAAGUGACGGUAGCAUAGGAGGAAGCCCCGGCUAACUACGUGCCAGCCGCCGCAGUAAAAC